GGUGGUUCUCAGGUGACACACACCAGAAUCAGGCUCCCUCCUCUCUGGUUCUGGUUGUGUCACCCGAGAAUCGCA
rfam:Myotis brandtii contig162656, whole genome shotgun sequence.